rnacentral:rRNA from 1 species
UACGAAGGGGGCUAGCGUUGCUCGGAAUCACUGGGCGUAAAGGGUGCGUAGGCGGGUCUUUAAGUCAGGGGUGAAAUCCUGGAGCUCAACUCCAGAACUGCCUUCGAUACUGGCGAUCUCGAGUUCGGGAGAAGUGAGUGGGAACUGCGAGUGUAGAGGUGAAAUUCGUAGAUAUUCGCAAGAACACCAGUGGCGAAGGCGGCUCACUGGCCCGAUACUGACGCUGAGGUGCGAAAGCGGUGGGGAGCAAACAGG